GGCCGGAAGAGAACUCCGUUCCGACCUAGGGUAGUGCGGCGACAGACUAACUUGCAGGAUUUUAGUCUGUAGGAUUCCUUAUUAUUCCAUUUUUUCUUAGACCAACACGAGGAAUCAUCGAUCACAAUAAAGAUGGCGGCAGCCGCUUUACCAUGGUAACAGGGAGGUCAUUCGCUAACAACCUUGGCUCUUUCAUUUUAGUUCCGCCCUGUUGGGGAAGGGAAGUGCGUGGUCCCGCCCCAGCAGCGUGCCUGUUUGUAAAAGCUCGAGUGUACCAAGCAAUAUGAGAGAGAGUCGCGGCAGUCUAGGGAAUGAGAGAAUGCGGAGCGCUCAAAUUCAAGUCGUCACCAUAGCCGAGGAGAUGGGGAGGUAAAGGGAGAACAGACCCGUGUCUGUUCUUGUGUAGCCCCUGGGCUCCAUGCGUUUGGUGGUGAGGGAGCGAGCUGGCGGAGGGCGUCGCUACGGGGUUCUCAGAAAAGAUCAUUGACUGCUGGUACUUAAGCGGCUAAAGCAUGAUUUGAACUCAGAUUGCUUUGGCUCGGAGACUGAAUGUUUAACUGCUGUAGCUAUUGCCUCCCAGUAUAACAGGGAAUAUGAGUGACUCAACAUAUUUUAUUACAUUUUUGGAAAAGAACUUAGAGCAUCUGACUUGGUGAUCCUAGGUCGGUGGGCUUAUAACAACGAACCACCCAAGAAUAGGUCAAGGCAUCUAUAACCAGGGGCUUGUUGUGCUGUCAUCAGUCAUUUGUAGAGAAUGGAUUGUUGGUUCUCUUCAUUAACCAACCCUACUCUACUGGUUAUAAAAGAGGAGGUGUGUGCAGGGGAUGUUUCCUAAGCUUUUGUAUAUUUGGGUUUCAUUUAUAGGCCCCGUGCUAGUGACUCCUGCCUCAGUGCCUGUCCCUCAGAGUCGUUUUCCUUCACUGCAGCACUCUUGGAGUGAUACGUAUCUUUAGCCUAUAGGUUAUAACAAAAUGAAGACAGAAGAUAGGGCGUCUGAUGCUGUUGUUGUAGGUGUUAUGACUGAACCUCAGUUCACAUAACAACAUAGGUGCAGUAUGAAGAGGUGGGGGGAAAACUAGGAAAGAUGCAUUUCUACACAACUGGGACUAUAUUUAGAAUAAGUGUUAUUUGGGGGAAUUGCACAGAAGAGAAAGGGUAUGUUGUGGAGAAUCAAAGAAUUUGGGAAACCACAGUCAAGAUUUGUGGGGCACUGGCAGAAAGUUUUGUGGAAAAGUCCCGAGUUCUUAUUUAGUCUGGUUGAUGAUACUAAGAAUCUUGGAUAAGGUAUAAAUGAAGCAAGCAAAGACAUUCAGGAUGGUGAGAGCACAGAGGCUUGGCCGUAGAAGGUCAAACUUCCAAGGCUGUGAAUCCAGAAGGUUCCCGAUUGUUCACCUGCUCAAGGGCUGCCUUAUGAGAUACAUUGCUUGGUAGCAGGCCAGGGAGUUAGUUGGUCAGCUGAAUUGGAGGAAGAUUUUCCUUGUUCUUGGCAAUGGCAUGGUGACCUCUUGCUACUGAAUGAGGACUGCUUCCAAACCAAGCAUUGGGGAAAACUGGAACCAGAACUCUGGGAGACUGUUGCAGUGACACGUGGAAUCCAGGGUUUAGCAAAACGAAGGUGGAUAUCACUGUACCACACUUACACUCCAGCAGUGUGCUGCUGGGUGAACAUGGCUGGACAGAACAUGUGGAUAAUGGACCCAGUCUAGGAUACCACAUUACAUUGUUGUCAUGUCUCCUUUGGCUUCUGUUGACUGUGGCAGUUUUGCAGAAUUUCUUUGUUUUGAUGACCUUGACGGUAUUGAGGAGUACCGCUCAGGAAUCUUUUUGAUGUGACCCAGUGUGUUCCUUUGAGAUCAUCGCCAAGAUGCUGCAAGUGGCAUCACUGCCGCGUACUGGAGAAGCACUUCAUGCUGUGCUACCUUCCAUGGCUGUGAUUGGAAUCCUCAUAGCUGCUCUGAGAAAAAAAUCCAGAGAUAGAUGGAGUAGCAGAUUUGUGCCAAAUAUACUUUGAGAAUAACAGGGCAACUGAAUCUGCUCCUGCUUCCACAGUACCGACCCUCUCCCCUGCAGUCUGCAGCAUCGGGGGUGGGAUUUUCAUUGUUAACGUGUCUGUGCCCCCAUCUCUCCUGCCAUUCUCUGUGUGGUCCCUUUAUCCUUUGUUUUGCUGUUCAUUCAGCCCUUGGUUCUCCUUCAGGAGGAAUUGCUCUGUAUUUACCACAUUUUCUUUAUUUAUCCAUUGGUGGACACUUAGGUGGCUUUCAUGUCUUGGCUAUUGUAAGGAAUGCUGCAAUGAAGAUGGGGUGCGUAUAUCCAAAAGUAGGUUUUCUCAGCCUCCAUGACUAUGUGAUCCAAUUCCUAUAAUAAAUCUCUCUUCUCUCUUCUUUUCUCUUCUUUCUCUUCCUUUCUCCCUCCCUCUCUGUCUGUCUCUCUCCCUGUGUCAUUAUCUGUAUCCAUUUUAUUCUGUUUCUGGGAGAAUCUUGACCAGUACAGAUUUUGGUACCAAUAGUGGUU